UAACCUUCCAUGUAUAUACUUAUUUAUGUAGAUGUAUAUGGAGUGUGGAACUGCAAGUGAACAACACAAGAUACAUCGUAGGGAAAUUUUAUGGUUGCUAAAAACAGGUUCAUUACUGAAAGUUUACAUUUUGGUAUGGCAUUUAAAGCUUACAAGUGGAAUGUCACUAGUUUGGGAGAAAACUUGUGUGACUGAGCUUGUCUAUUUGUGUGAAUAAGUUUAGUUUUCAGUACAUGUUUUUGCAGACAUAGCACAAUAGUGUAUAUUAUAUUCAUAUAUUCUGGUACAAUUGAAACUUAGGCACCAUGGUUGCAACGGUUGGACUCUUCGUUCUUUUCGUUUUGGGCACUAGCUGGGCAUGUGAUGCUAGAGAAUUAACGACAACCGAACUCUCUGGUAGAGAAACGGUGAUAUCUGAUGUUUCAGUGUUGCAGAUAAAUCACCAGGAAUCAGAAGGCAUAAUUAAAGCUUCAGAAGAUAUUGGAAGGAAUGAAAAUGUGUGCACGCUAUGUGAAGAGUUUGCUGCCAAGGCAAUUGAGUACCUCGAGGACAACAAGACUCAAA